UUGAGCUUGGACGAGGGCGGCGGGUCCGGCUUGCCGAUCUGCGAGCAAGUCUGGGCCAGCAACGCCAAAGGACUCUUCUUGGCGUCCAGCUGUGGGAGACAGUGGUUUCUUACGGUGUUCUGCUUAGAGGCGUAAAAUUCUCUCACUGCACCCGGCCUAGCUGCUAUUGGGGGUCGGGUGGAGACCAUGGAGAGGUCAGCAUCCCCGAGGAGGGAGGAAUCGCUGUAAGUGCUGCACGUCGAUGCAAACUCCAGAGAUGCGUCUACCCUACCCCCAUCCUUUUUUUCUCGCGGGGGAAAAUGCACUAGGUUUUGCCAGGGGAAUUUCGGAAUUAAAAACUUUUUAUUAAAAA